rnacentral:rRNA from 1 species
CACGUAGGCGGACUUUUAAGUCAGGUGUGAAAUCCCGGGGCUCAACCUCGGAACUGCAUUUGAAACUGGGAGUCUUGAGACCAGGAGAGGUUAGCGGAAUACCGAGUGUAGAGGUGAAAUUCGUAGAUAUUCGGUGGAACACCAGUGGCGAAGGCGGCUAACUGGACUGGUACUGACGCUGAGGUGCGAAAGUGUGGGGAGCAAAACA